rnacentral:rRNA from 1 species
AUACGGAGGGUGCAAGCGUUAUCCGGAAUUAUUGGGUUUAAAGGGUCCGUGGGCGGCUAGAUAAGUCAGUGGUGAAAUUCUCUCGCUCAACGAGAGACCUGCCAUUGAUACUGUCUUGGCUAGAGUUACAGUGAGGUGAGUGGAAUGUGUAGUGUAGCGGUGAAAUGCAUAGAUAUUACACAGAACACCGAUUGCGAAGGCAGCUCACUAACUGUAUACUGACGCUGAUGGACGAAAGCGUGGGGAGCAAACAGGAUUAGAAACCCUAGUAGUCC